CAGGGAUCCAGCCAGCUGAGCCCUGGAGGGGUGCACCCACCUUCCCCUCCUGGCCUCCUGCCGGAGGCGAGCUGCAGUCUCCUUUGGAUCUUUUUGCGGUCUGGGCUUGCUGUUCCUCUCAACAGUAGUCAGGAAGCCCUUACCCCAAAAAGUAUCUGCGGGAGGCCUUGUCUACAGGGGUGAUGCCCCCCCAAAGGGUCCAGGUGUGUCACAGACGAGGACAGCAACAAGUGGGAGUCAUCAACCUAGCUUUCCCGUAGAGCUGCUGGUUGGCCUCAGGACAAACGCUGAGCCUCUCUGUGCCUCAAUGCUCUGCUACACAUUUAAUCAUUUAUCUGUGCACAGUGUCUAGUGGGAGGUUCCAUCAGGAGACCCAAGACAGGCCUGGGAAUUGGAAUCCUGGAUGGAGGGACGCAAGAUUGGGAACAAACUGAUCCCAGCAGCUGUGCUAAAGAGAAGACUGAGCUUGGGCCUUCUGCGUCCCCUGAACUGCCUAGCGCCCGCCCUUUCUUAGCCUGGACCUUCAAGUGCCCCCCUCCUGAAUCUGGCGAACCACCCCCAAAUCCUUCCAAUAAAAUCCUCAUUGCUUUA